GACAGCAGAGGAGACAAAGGCGAGAGAAAUCAACAGUGAUAUUCUUGGACUGGAUGUGAGGCGAUGACUCUCAUCCUGUGUUCUGGACCACAGAUCAAAGAAGGAACGGACUCCACAGAUCUACCAGGGCUGCACGGAUGCAGAAGACACGCAGGCAGGCAGGGAGUGGAGUGGGAAGGGCAGAUCAUAGAUUACAGUUCUUCCCUUUUCUGUGAGGGCAGUAAAAAAGACGGACGGAAAAGCUUGACUGUGAAGAAUUUUGGAUCCUCGGUGGAACAAUACGUGUCCAUUCCAUUGGGAAGGAAUGGGCACACGUUCGAAGGCUCCGCUAAGGGUCAGGAUUGAUAUGAGGGCGAGGGCCUUUGUCAGGUGAGGUGUAAUCAUCCUUUUGAGUUAUGAGUGGCAGCCAGCUGGGCAGCUGAUGGUCCAGAGAUAAGAAAAUGGUUUGGCUGAAAAAUAUCGAAAGGCAAACACACGCACACCACCAUCAUCCACCUGGAGGGAGAAAGAUGCGCGGAUGAUACCAUCAUCCGGCUCCUGGUUCAGGAAGGAAAGGGUUGUUUCAGAGGAACUGACUAAUGCGCCCUACACGCUCUGCAUGGGAUGAAAGCUGCUCGUGAAAUGUCACAGAAAGGCUGCACGCUUGUGAGCGCACACACACACAUGUAACUGCUGCUACUACUACUACUACUGCAAGAUCAAUAUUUUAGAACAGCAUGACUGUGAUGUUCAGAUUAUCGGAUGACUCAACGAAUGCCAAGCAACACGUGGCUGUGCUGGAAUGACUUCCUUUACUUUCGGUUGUCCAAACUGCACUGAAAACAGAGUCAGGGCUGACUGCUGAAAGAGGAUGUUAUGAGUCUAUGUAUGUAGAGUUAUUAAGUAAGGAAGUGAAAACCAAAUGCAGAAACAGAAUGCAAUUUCUUUGCUUACUUUUUUAUCAGUCAUAUUGCCGUCCAAAAUGAAGAUUACGACAGAAUUAGGGGUUCUGGCUGCAGUUGGUUUGAGAUCAGUGACUCUGGUGGGUGUUUUAGAACUGAGCGUUACUAAGUGAUAUAAUUAUGGCAGCUGGAGAGAACUUAUUAAAAGCAAAGUUAUAGCACAGUACAUAAGGUGGAGAGGCGGUGUACCCAAUCUGCCAAAGACAUCCAUGAAAGGCAGGGAAGCCAAUCCUGAGAAAAAAAAAUGUCAUCCUGCAAUUCGAGGAAGAUCUUUAUACAUUGUUUUGUUAAAUAAACACACUCUAAACUCUGAUCCACCACUGUGGAUGUGAAUUUAUUUCAGCAGGUGCUGGAAAACACCACAAUGGAUGGAGAGAAUAUACAAGGAUGGAUGUACUAGGAAAGGAGGAAUACAUUUUAAUGUUGUUUGCCCAGAUAAAUAAAAAAUAAAAAUAGCCUGCACCCAAAGAUGGCGUACAGGGAUUGUGUACCGCACCACCCCCCACCCCACCCUACUGCACCUCAACACACACACACACACACACA